GUCUUUUUGGUAUUUAAUAUAAAGUCUGACCUGCCCACUGAAUAUUGUUUGAAGGGCCGCAGUAUUUUGACUGUGCAAAGGUAGCAUAAUCAUUAGUCUUUUAAUUGAAGGCUGGUAUGAAUGGUUGGAUGAGAUACAAACUGUGUCAUAAAAAUUAAUAUUUGAAUUUAACUUUUUAGUCAAAAGGCUAAAAUAAUCUUAAAAGACGAGAAGACCCCAUAGAGCUUUAUAUAAUAUAUAUUUAAUUUAUUAAGAUUUAUUAAAUUUAGUUAUUUUGUUAUAUUUUGUUGGGGUGACAAUAAAAUUUAUAAAACUUUUAUUUUUAGUUAACAUUAAUUUAUGAUUAAAUGAUCCAGUUUUAUUGAUUAUAAAUUUAAGUUACCUUGGGGAUAACAGCGUAAUUUUUUUUGAGAGUUCUUAUCGACAAAAAAGAUUGCGACCUCGAUGUUGGAUUAAGAGUAAUUUUGGGUGUAGAAGUUCAAAAUUUAAGUCUGUUCGACUUUUAGAUUCUUACAU
rnacentral:rRNA from 1 species